rnacentral:rRNA from 1 species
CAUGUAGGUUGUAAUUUAAGUCAGUUUUUAAAUGUCACGGCUUAACCGUGGACUGGAAUUGAAACUGGAUUACUUGAGUAUGAGAGGGGACAGAGGAAUACCUAGUGUAGCGGUGGAAUGCGUAGAUAUUAGGUAGAACACCUGAGGCGAAGGCGUCUGUCUGGCUCAUUAUUGACACUGAAAUGCGAAAGCAUGGGUAGCGAACAGGAUUAGAUACCCUGGUAGUCC